rnacentral:rRNA from 1 species
AUCUAUGGCCAUGCUAUACUGAACAAGCCCAAUCUCAUCUGAUCUCAGAAGCUGAGCAGGAUUGGGUCUGGUUAGUACUUGGAUGUGAGACCACCUUGGAAUACCAGGUGUUAAAAAAA